ACGGCUCACCAAGGCUGCGACGGGUAGCGGGCGUGAGAGCGUGACCCGCCUCAUCGGGACUGAGACACUGCCCGGACACCUACGGGUGGCUGCAGUAACGAAUAUUGGGCAAUGGGCGCAAGCCUGACCCAGCAAUGCCGCGUGCAGGAGGAAGCCUUUCGGGGUGUAAACUGCUGUUGGGGUUCAGCAAGCAACGGAGGUGAAUAGCCUCCCGCGUUGAGCAGACCCUGAGGAAGUCUCGGCUAACUCUGUGCCAGCAGCCGCGGUAAGACAGAGGAGGCAAGCGUUGUUCGGAAUUAUUGGGCUUAAAGCGGGCGUAGGCGGCCCGGCAAGUGUCCUGUGAAAUCCCACGGCUCAACCGUGGAACUGCAGGGCAAACUGCCGGGCUUGAUUCGGUAGAGGUGCCUGGAACUCUAGGUGGAGCGGUGAAAUGCGUAGAUAUCUAGAGGAACGCCAGAGGCGAAAGCGGGGCACUGGGCCGAUUCUGACGCUGAGGCCCGAAAGCGUGGGGAGCAAACAGGAUUAGAUACCCUGGUAGUCCACGCCGUAAACGAUGCACACUAGGUCCGGGUGUCUCUGACGGCUUCCGGGCCGAAGCAAAAGUGCUAAGUGUGCCGCCUGGGGAGUACGGCCGCAAGGCUAAAACUCAAAGGAAUUGACGGGGGCUCACACAAGCGGUGGAGCAUGUGGCUUAAUUCGAAUCAACGCGAAGAACCUUACCCGGGUUUGACAUGCUUGGAUGCCUCUUGGGGAUAACUCAGGUAGGCUGCCCUUCGGGGUGAAACUUGCACAGGUGUUGCACGGCUGUCGUCAGCUCGUGCUGUGAAGUGUCGGGUUAAGUCCCUUAACGAGCGAAACCCCUAUCGUCAGUUGCCAGCGGGUCAUGCCGGGGACUCUGGCGAGACUGCCGGCGUUAAGCCGGAGGAAGGUGGGGACGACGUCAAGUCAUCGUGGCCUUUAUGCCCGGGGAUGCACACGUGCUACAAUGGCGCGUACAAUGCGACGCGAGACCGCGAGGUGGAGCAAAUCGCAAAAAACGCGCCCCAGUUCGGAUUGGAGUCUGAAAUUCGACUCCAUGAAGUCGGAAUCGCUAGUAAUCGCGUAUCAGCUACGACGCGGUGAAUAAGUUCCUGAGCCUUGUACACACCGCCCGUCAAGUCAUGGAAGCUGGUAGUACCCGAAGUCCGUUUAGCUAACUUUCACGAGAGGCGGCGGCCGACGGUAAGACCGGUGACUGGGACUAAGUCGAAACAAGGUA
rnacentral:rRNA from 1 species